rnacentral:rRNA from 1 species
GAGUCUGUUAGAGGGGGGGUAGGAAUCCCAGGGUGUAGCGGUGAAAAGCGUAAGAGAUCUGGAGGAAUACCCGGUGGCGAAGGCGGCCCCCUGGACAAAGACUGACGCUCAGGUGCGAAAGCGUGGGGAGCAAACAGGAUUAGAUACCCUGGUAGUCCACGCCGUAAACGAUGUCGAUUUGGAGGUUGUGCCCUUGAGGCGUGGCUUCCGGAGCUAACGCGUUAAAUCGACCGCCUGGGGAGUACGGCCGCAAGGUUAAAACUCAAAUGAAUUGACGGGGGCCCGCACAAGCGGUGGAGCAUGUGGUUUAAUUCGAUGCAACGCGAAGAACCUUACCUGGUCUUGACAUCCACAGAACUUUCCAGAGAUGGAUUGGUGCCUUCGGGAACUGUGAGACAGGUGCUGCAUGGCUGUCGUCAGCUCGUGUUGUGAAAUGUUGGGUUAAGUCCCGCAACGAGCGCAACCCUUAUCCUUUGUUGCCAGCGGUUCGGCCGGGAACUCAAAGGAGACUGCCAGUGAUAAACUGGAGGAAGGUGGGGAUGACGUCAAGUCAUCAUGGCCCUUACGACCAGGGCUACACACGUGCUACAAUGGCAUAUACAAAGAGAAGCGACCUCGCGAGAGCAAGCGGACCUCAUAAAGUAUGUCGUAGUCCGGAUUGGAGUCUGCAACUCGACUCCAUGAAGUCGGAAUCGCUAGUAAUCGUAGAUCAGAAUGCUACGGUGAAUACGUUCCCGGGCCUUGUACACACCGCCCGUCACUGCCAUGGGAGUGGGUUGCAAAAGAAGUAGGUAGCUUAACCUUCGGGAGGGCGCUUACCACUUUUGAUUCCAUUGUCG